AGCGACGGCGACGGAGGGAGGCCAGACGACCCACUUCAAUCGUCAUGCAUGAAGCUCCGCGGCACCAUUGAACACUGGGAAGGAGCAAAAAUGACAAACAUCUUGCACUAAACGCCUUGACUGGGAUGAACAACCCAAAUUAUUGGCAAAAAUUGGACCAUUGCUGAGGAUAGCAGUGGCAAAAAAUAAUCGUAGUGCCAUAUCUUAGUAACAGCAAGCAUUAUAUUUAAGAAAGAUAAAGAAAUUGACAAAUGUUAUUGCGCCUUUGAUUCAA